UGCUGACGACGGCAGCACAGGUAUAAAAUUGGAAGUGAUAUAGAGAAGAUCAGCAUGGCCCUUCAGCAAGGAAGACAGGCAAAUUCAUGAAGGCUUCCACAUGUGU